rnacentral:lncRNA from 1 species
UAAUUGCAAGCGCUUGUUACUAAGACUAGUCAUGACGUCACCGUAAUAUGUAUGAUUUGUGUGUGUACGGUACGAGUAUACGUAUCGCCUGCGCCUAGCUAGCUGACAACAAAGUCGGAGAAUGGAUUGAAACUAAAGAGCUGAAAGAAGUUAACAACAUGAAGCAGAAAGUCCCAUGCAGGAUGAUGCUUCUCUACAGUGGGUGAUGAAGGCAUGCUGGUUUACAAACUCAGGAGAGGAACAAAGAAGAGAUAUUGACGGGAUCAUAUCUAGAGAUGCGGGCCUACUACACUUCAUACGAGCAAGUGUGCUAAUAUACAUACUUGGGUUAUCACUAC